rnacentral:misc_RNA from 1 species
GAAAUGUGAUAAGUAAUGUGAAUUGCAGAAUUCCGUGAAUCAUCGAAUCUUUGAACGCACAUUGCGCCCUCUGGCAUUCCGGGGGGCAUGCCUGUCCGAGCGUCAUUACGCACCCUCAAGUCCGGCUUGUGUGAUGGGCCCCGGCGUCUCGUUCGCGAGACGGGCCCGAAAGGCAGCGGCGGCGUCGACCCGAUGAGCCCGAGCGUAUGGGGACUUCUGUCACACGUUCGCGGUGCGGACCGGCGCCUGCUUGACUUUUCUGAUUAUCCAGGUUGACCUCGGAUCAGGUAGGGAUACCCGCUGAACUUAAGC